rnacentral:lncRNA from 15 species
CGUUUGGAUAUAAUUUUCCCAAAAAACGUUAUUUACAUUUCUAAGACUUUAAGACUAUCAUUGUACCUCUUCGUUGUGCUCACUUUUUUGGCAGCUCCUUAGCGACUGGGGGUGACUAGCUAACUUCACUCCACCUGCCAUACACAACCAGCUUGAGGGUUGUAGUAGCUAGCAAAGCAAUAUCAUUAGUCAGAGAUGUGUGUUUAGAAAACAGUUGCCAAAAAAAAACUGUUCAUCUCUAAAGAACUUCUCCCAUCUUCCUCCUCCAGAUCUAACAAUAAUGCAGUUAAACACAGAAAUAUGUUUUUUAAAAGCUAAAGUUGGGGUCCGUUUCACUGGGACUUUAAGACUAUCGUGCACCUACUUCUUUAUUGUGCUCAGUCUUUUGGCAGCUCCUCAAAUAGUUUCAAGACAGACUUUAUCAUUAUUUCUUAUCCCAAAUGAGUUCUUUCAUAAAGCUUUGAAUUAAUCUCCUGAUAUUGGCUUGUUUACCAGCUGCUUGUGAUGGAAUCUCAUGGCACUGUCCCAACUGCUUUUUUAUUAGGAGGAAGCCAGGGCUGUUAGGUGCCGGUGCAAUUGCCAGUAAGCCAGUGAAGAGUCUUAACUUGUUAAAUGGGGCGAUGCCGUGACCAUCAAUUCAGCCACCCACUUUGCCUUUAUGCUCUGCUAAUGUAUUGGCACUGUCAGUGCUAGGAUAGGAGUUAAUACUGAGCGGGAAGACAGCUGCUUCCUGUCAAGCCCAGAUUUGUACACCUUAAUACAGUUUGAUAAGCAAGUUUAAACUGAGAGCUGAGCCGGUUUCUAACCCUGGAUGGUCAUUUGAGGAUGUCAGUUAUGAAAGCCACCUGAUAGCUAGCCCCUGGAGCCCUUCCUCUUCCGUUUACCCGCUCUCCUAAUCCGCCGCUAAUGGUUAGCAAUGGAGGCCCAGAGGAAGAUUCAACCGUUGGUGUGUGGAAAUCCCUGCUGGAGUGGGAGUGUCGCGCUUGAGGAAGUACUCAGUGAAGCGCGCCAGAGACAGCGACGGGACCCUCAUGCCAUGUGCACCAAAACGCUCAAGGUCUUGGCCUUUCUGGUGUUGGUGGAAUUUUGCUGGCAGAGGAAGGUAAAUGAGAACUGCUUACAACUCUAUCAACAUAAAUGUACCCUUAAGCAAGGCACAUGACCUUCAAUAAGUCUCUUUGCACUACAGUAAAUAGUAGUAUUCUAGCCUUAUAAAGUCGCUCCGAGCUAUUACAUAUAUAUUAUGGUACCUGAUUAUACCUGUCAGCACAUGACUAGCUACAGUAUGCAUACUGCAUGUAUAUUUAUGUUUAUCAUAUAUCAUCUAAAGGGGUUUUUCCUACAAAGUAAAGGAAGGAAAGUCAAAAAAAUGAUUUUGGGUUUCACUACAAGGUCCACUUAGUAGCUGUUACUUGCUCAUAUAAUAUGAUCUUCAAAAGCAGAUGAAGCUUUUUCAUGGAAUUUACUGUUAAUGUUUAAAAGUCAGUAUUUCUGUUUGUUUGUUUUUCCUGACUUAUUUCCCAUGUUGCCUUUUAAAGCUGAGGUUCAAAUUAAAAGAAAGACAAUUAAUUAGCAAGGACCACGGCACAACAGUAUUUAACUGAAAGGUUUACAUUCGGGAGGUUUUGAUGUUAAGAAUACAUGAAUUCAUGUGGAGGGGAGAAGGUGGAAGAAGUUGUCAUCUAAUAGGUUGGUCUGGGAGGACGUGUUGAAGGCCAGGCCGGUGGAGACUCAGUAUGGGUUUCCAGCUGCUUACAGGCUGUAGACACUACCUACAAUGACAUGUGGAAGAGGUAGAGAUUGAAUAGGAAGGGAUGAGGGGAAGAAGGGAGAGAGGAUGAAGCGAUUGGAUGAAGAGGAGGUAAAGGGAAGGUGGCUGGAGAAAACUGAGACCAACAGGGCCGGGAGGGGUUGACCAGGUAUGAGUAGCUAACAUAAGUUAACUAAUAAGCUUCAUUCAUUUGUUUAAAGACAAAUGUAUAGAUAGGAAGAAAGGAAAAUAGAAAGUAAGAAAUAAAUAAAUGAAGAAUUGGAAAACACGUUCAGAUUUUAUAAUUAUAUUAUAAAUUUCACCCCAAUAUCAAAAAAGGGGAAACAGCUGAAGAAAUGGGCAUUACUUUGUUUUAUGUAUGCACACAUAUGCAUGUGUUUCAGAAUGAGCAAUAUUCAUUUGGAGUAUGUUAUUUUUGUGGAAUGUAAAUAAAAAUCUU